rnacentral:rRNA from 1 species
UGGGGAAUUUUCCGCAAUGGGCGCAAGCCUGACGGAGCAAGACCGCGUGGGGGAGGAAGGCCUUUGGGUUGUAAACCCCUUUUCUCAGGGAAGAAGCAAUGACGGUACCUGAGGAAUCAGCCUCGGCUAACUCCGUGCCAGCAGCCGCGGUAAUACGGAGGAGGCAAGCGUUAUCCGGAAUUAUUGGGCGUAAAGCGUCCGUAGGUGGUGGGGCAAGUCGGCGGUUAAAGCCUGGGGCUUAACUCCAGACAGGCCGUGGAAACUGCACCACUAGAGGGCAGUAGGGGUAGAGGGAAUUCCCGGUGUAGCGGUGAAAUGCGUAGAGAUCGGGAAGAACACCAGUGGCGGAAGCGCUCUACUGGACUGCAACUGACACUGAGGGACGAAAGCUAGGGGAGCGAAUGGGAUUAGAUACCCCAGUAGUC